AACGUAGGUGGCGAGCGUUAUCCGGAUUCAUUGGGCGUAAAGAGCUUGUAGGCGGCGUCAUAAGUUGGACGUGAAAACUCCGGGCUUAACUUGGAGAGGCCGUUCAAUACUGUGAGGCUAGAGGGUGUCAGAGGGAAGUAGAAUUCCUGGUGUAGCAGUGAAAUGCGUAGAUAUCAGGAGGAAUACCCGUGGCGAAGGCGGCUCACUGGCCCGGUACUGACGCUGAGGUGCGAAAGCGUGGGGAGCAAACAGG
rnacentral:rRNA from 1 species